GAUGAACGCUGGCGGCGUGCCUAAUACAUGCAAGUCGAGCGAACGGACGAGAAGCUUGCUUCUCUGAUGUUAGCGGCGGACGGGUGAGUAACACGUGGAUAACCUACCUAUAAGACUGAGAUAACUUCGGGAAACCGGAGCUAAUACCGGAUAAUAUUUUGAACCGCAUGGUUCAAAAGUGAAAGACGGUCUUGCUGUCACUUAUAGAUGGAUCCGCGCUGCAUUAGCUAGUUGGUAAGGUAACGGCUUACCAAGGCAACGAUGCAUAGCCGACCUGAGAGGGUGAUCGGCCACACUGGAACUGAGACACGGUCCAGACUCCUACGGGAGGCAGCAGUAGGGAAUCUUCCGCAAAGGGCGAAAGCCUGACGGAGCAACGCCGCGUGAGUGAUGAAGGUCUUCGGAUCGUAAAACUCUGUUAUUAGGGAAGAACAUAUGUGUAAGUAACUGUGCACAUCUUGACGGUACCUAAUCAGAAAGCCACGGCUAACUACGUG
rnacentral:rRNA from 1 species